rnacentral:rRNA from 1 species
AGCGAACGCUGGCGGCAGGCUUAACACAUGCAAGUCGAGCGGGCGUAGCAAUACGUCAGCGGCAGACGGGUGAGUAACGCGUGGGAACAUACCUUUUGGUUCGGAACAACACAGGGAAACUUGUGCUAAUACCGGAUAAGCCCUUACGGGGAAGAUUUAUCGCCGAGAGAUUGGCCCGCGUCUGAUUAGCUAGUUGGUGAGGUAACGGCUCACCAAGGCGACGAUCAGUAGCNGGUCUGAGAGGAUGAUCAGCCACAUUGGGACUGAGACACGGCCCAAACUCCUACGGGAGGCAGCAGUGGGGAAUAUUGGACAAUGGGCGAAAGCCUGAUCCAGCCAUGCCGCGUGAGUGAUGAAGGCCCUAGGGUUGUAAAGCUCUUUGUGCGGGAAGAUAAUGACGGUACCGCAAGAAUAAGCCCCGGCUAACUUCGUGCCAGCCGCCGCAGUAAC